rnacentral:misc_RNA from 1 species
GGAGCCCGCGGCCCGCGAAUGCCGGGUCGGGGUGCUCAAUGGCGGAGACACUGGCGAGUUUUUUCCUGGCAACGGCCGGGUUCCUUCUAGUACGGCCAUCCUCGUGGUGGUGUGGAACGGAGACCUGGUGCGGCUGGGGAGGGAUGUAGAGCACCCUGUUGGGUCCUGAAAGAACAACCGUGGGUUGUCUUUCAGAGCCGUGAGCGGAACGGAUUGUUUCGCCGGCGCCAGGCACGGCCUGGUGUGGCAUACCGUCAAGAUUGUUGUCUUGGGCUGGUGUCACGCUGUGGGUUGUGGGUUGGU